rnacentral:misc_RNA from 1 species
GAUGAAGAACGUAGCAAAAUGCGAUAAGUAAUGUGAAUUGCAGAAUUCAGUGAAUCAUCGAAUCUUUGAACGCACAUUGCGCCCGCCAAUAUUCUGGCGGGCAUGCCUGUUCGAGCGUCAUUUCAACCCUCAAGCACAGCUUGGUGUUGGGACUCGCGUUAAUUCGCGUUCCUCAAAUUGAUUGGCGGUCACGUCGAGCUUCCAUAGCGUAGUAGUAAAACCCUCGUUACUGGUAAUCGUCGCGGCCACGCCGUUAAACCCCAACUUCUGAAUGUUGACCUCGGAUCAGGUAGGAAUACCCGCUGAACUUAAGCAUAUCAAUAAGCGGAGGA